rnacentral:rRNA from 1 species
AGAGUUUGAUCCUGGCUCAGGAUGAAUGCUAGCGGCGUGCCUAAGGUAUGCAAGUUGAACGGUCCACUUUUGUGGAUAGUGGCGAACGGCUGAGUAAUACGUAGGAACCUACCCCUAACUCUGGGAUAGCCUCGAGAAAUCGGGAGUAAUACCGGAUGUGGAGGAAACUCUAAAGAUUUAUCGGUUAGGGACGGGCCUGCGGCCUAUCAGGUAGUUGGUGAGGUAAAGGCUCACCAAGCCAAUGACGGGUAGCUGGUGUUAGCGCAUGACCAGCCAGAGGGGCACUGAGACACGGGCCUCACUCCUACGGGAGGCAGCAAUCGGGAAUUUUGCGCAAUGGGCGAGAGCCUGACGCAGCGACGCCGCGUGAAGGAUGAAUGCCUUCGGGUGAAACUCG